UCCGCCCACCUCGGCCUCCCAAAGUGCUGGGAUUACAGGUGUGAGUCACCAUGUUCAGCCUCAACUUCCUAAUAUGCGGGUCACUCUUUUUCCCCUGUCAUCCUUGUCCCUUAUACACUGUGCUAUUUGGCAUUUUCCAAAAUUCCCAGGUUUGUGCAUACCUGCAUGAUAUUGUUCAAGAUCCUUUGUCUGUUGAAAUCUUAUUUAUUUUUCACUAACCAGCUGGAGGUCACCUUCUCUAGAUAGCCCAGACUGAUUACCUGACUCACAAUUCAGCACUGCCCUCCUAUACACUGUGGGUUCUCACGAUACGUGGUACUUACCUUUUUAAACUUAUUGUUCUGUUUUCUUUUCCUUCUACUAUGUCAUUUCCUUAUCCUCGUACCUGGACUAUGACUGCUUCAAAUUGGAGCUGGGUCUUGCUUUUCUUACCCUGGCCAUGGACCCAGCAGUGUUCUCAUCAGUGUCCGCUGCUACAUGGAGUCCUGUGAGGAGAGGCCACAUGACAGACACAGAAAAGGCUCUGGGCUCUGAGUCAGAAAGACUGACUUCCGGUCCUGGCUCUGCCGUUCACCGGCUCUGAGUGUAGGUCGGUUAGGUAGCCUCCCCAAACCUCCGCUUCCCCAUUUGUAGAAUGGAUAUUAGAAUGCCGAAGCUUGCGGGGUGAAUGGGAUCAGGUGUGAAGGAGCUUAGCACAGUGCCCGACACGUGGAGAGUGUGCAAGAAAUACCUGUUGCCUUCCUCUCUGUGUCUCCCUCCGCCUUACACACAGGCACUCAGCAGGGGUUUAAUGUGAAUGUACCUCUAUCACCAUCUCUUCCCCGGAGUGCCUCCCUUCGGAGACGAUCCGAUCUGAGCGGGUCCUGGAGUUGUCAUGCGUUCCGGGCGUCUGAUCAUGACACCUCCGGCUUUGAUCUCCUGCAUCCCCAGAGUGCUCCUCCUUAGCCUUCCCUCUGCCUAGACUUCUAGGAGGCCACUCCUUCGUCUGCUGGCUUGGUCCUGCCUCUUGACUGAUAAGUUUGCAAAGAGAAGUAAACACCAAGUAUCGUCAGAAUUCCGAGGGGUCAGCCCCUCAUCAUCCUCGGAGGUACCUGCAGUAACUCUUCAAGAUGUGAAAACAUGAACACCCCUGAGGCAAAACGGCCGUUCUAGAUUCCAGCACAAAGUCUGAGACGUUUCCAGAGCACGUCCGCCAGGCUGACCUCUCCCUUCAGUGGCGAGACUGAGUUGUUGCUGGCCCUGGCGAGUGCCAGCCUCAGACCGUCCAGGGAGUGGGGGGGCACCCUGUGGGGCAGGGGUGGGUGUGCCACCUCCCGGGCUGCUCUUGGCCCGCAGGCCCCACCAGAGAUCAGGGAUGAGGACACAGGGUGACGGGGUCACCGGGGUCACCUCGCUGCCUGGGAGACUGUGCCCUGCAGCACUGAGCAGUAGGAAGCGUGGCGGGGCUGGGGGUGGGGUGCGGGGACAUGUGAAAUCCCAGGGAGAUGGAGACCACCAUCCACUCAGAGAGGCAUCCGCAGGGAUCUGUGAAUUGAGUCAGUCGCAAGGUUGGAUGGUGUAGCUUGUCAUCAAUCUGGAGAAAGUCUAAAUGCCUUCACAGGCGUAGCAGUGUGCUCGGGCUGCCAUAAUAAAUCCCAGAGACUGGGUGAUUUAAGCAACAGACGUUUAUUUCUCACGGUUCUGAAGGCUGGAGGUCAAAGGCCAAGGUGCCAACAGGGUUGGUUUUUGGUGAGGUCCCUCACUCUUCCUCGCUUGCAGACGGCCAGAAGCUGCUUUUUCUCUGCGUUCUCACACGGCCUUUCCUCUGGCAUGCAGAGAGAAAGAACACUCUGUUAGCUCUUCCUCUUCUUAGAAGAACACCUGCCCUGUAGGAUUAGGGCCCCACUCAUGACUUACUUAACCUUAAUGACCUCCUUGAAGGCCCUGUCUCCAAACACAGUCACACCGGGGUAAGGCCUUCAACACGUAUAUUUUGCGGAGACGCAGUUCAGUCCGUAACAGCAGGCACGUGGGGUCUGAGGAUCAUCCGGCCUCGGCCAGCUUCCCUGCACCUCACUCCCUCCCAGAACGGUCGUCUGCUCUGGGUCUGACGUACGCCUUGCCGUUCUCUAAGCACAUCACACCCUUGCCUGGCCCAACGUGCCCUGCAAGUGCUUUCCCUCUUCCCGAAAUCCCUCCUCCCCGGCCGACUCCUGCCUCCCUGAGCACCAGCGCUGCCACCACCCCCUCCUCAGGAAGCCCUGGUGGGCAAGGGGGCAUCUGGGUUCCCCCGUCACCUCUCCCGUCACCCGCUCUCUGAUGUUAGUUUUCCUGCCAUCUCUCCCUCCCCUGGCUGCUCCCCGAGGCCCUGUCUGUAUUGUCGCCAGGGCCU